GAUGAAGAACGUAGCGAAAUGCGAUACGUAGUGUGAAUUGCAGAAUUCCGUGAACCAUCAAAUCUUUGAACGCAUAUUGCGCUCGAGGCUUCGGCCGAGAGCAUGUCUGCCUCAGCGUCGGUAUUACCCCUCGCUUCUCAACCCCUGGUUGAUGCCUGCCUGCCUUUGCAGUUGGCUAGAAGCGGAUCUGGUUUUCCCAAUUGCCUUUGUUAGUUGGGUCAGCUGAAGCACAGAGGCUUGGGCAAGGACCCUUAUUGGGCUACAACUGGAUAGGUAGAACUGGUCUUAGGACCAACUACACGAAGUUGUUGCUUGUGGUCUUUGUAUGGAGGCCAGCAGGAAACCUUUAUACCUUCGACCUGAGCUCAGGCAAGAUUACCCGCUGAACUUAAGCAUAUCAAUAAGCGGAGGA
rnacentral:misc_RNA from 1 species